rnacentral:rRNA from 5 species
UUGGAGGGCAAGUCUGGUGCCAGCAGCCGCGGUAAUUCCAGCUCCAAUAGCGUAUAUUAAAGUUGUUGCAGUUAAAAAGCUCGUAGUUGAAUUUCGGAAUCAAUUUGUUGGUCGUGCCUCGGUACGUACUGGUAUUAUUGGUUUCUACCUUCUGAAGAACCUUGAUGUCAUUAAUUUGGUGUCUUGGGGAAUCAGGACUGUUACUUUGAAAAAAUUAGAGUGUUUAAAGCAAGCAUACGCUUGAAUACAUUAGCAUGGAAUAAUGAAAUAGGACGUUUGAUUCUAUUUUGUUGGUUUCUAGGAUCGACGUAAUGAUUAAUAGGGAUAGUUGGGGGCAUUAGUAUUCAAUUGUCAGAGGUGAAAUUCUUGGAUUUAUUGAAGACUAACUACUGCGAAAGCAUUUGCCAAGGAUGUUUUCAUUAAUCAAGAACGAAAGUUAGGGGAUCGAAGACGAUCAGAUACCGUCGUAGUCUUAACCAUAAACUAUGCCGACUAGGGAUCGGAUGAUGUUAAUUUUUUAAUGACUCAUUCGGCGCCUUACGGGAAAC